rnacentral:rRNA from 1 species
UACAGAGGUCUCAAGCGUUGUUCGGAAUUACUGGGCGUAAAGCGUGCGUAGGUGGCGGGGUAAGUCGGGUGUGAAAUCUCGGGGCUCAACUCCGAAAUUGCAUUCGAUACUGCCUUGCUCGAGCACUGGAGAGGAGGCUGGAAUUUACGGUGUAGCAGUGAAAUGCGUAGAUAUCGUAAGGAAGGCCAGUGGCGAAAGCGAGCCUCUGGACAGUUGCUGACGCUGUGGCACGAAGGCUAGGGGAGCAAACGGG